UCAUACAAUUUUAUUAAUUUUUUAUUAAUAUAUUUUCACAUACUUUCUACUAGGAAGAACAACGGAAACUAGAAGAAGAGAAAGAAAAGAAAAAAGAGAAUGACAUGGUAUUUAAAGCAUGGUUGCAAAAGAAAAGAGAGCAAGUUCUAGAAAUGAGGAGAAUUCAGCGAGCAAAGCAAAUUGAAGACAUGAACAGUAGACAGGAAAGCAGAGAUCCACAAGAAGCUUUUCGAUUGUGGCUUAAGAAAAAACAUGAAGAGCAGAUGAAAGAAAGGAAGACAGAAGAACUAAGAAAACAAGAGGAAUGCUUAUUCUUCCUUAAAGGAACAGAAGGCCGUGAAAGAGCUUUUAAACAAUGGCUAAGAAGGAAACGCAUAGAAAAAAUAGCAGAGCAAGAAACUAUGAAGGAGAGAACUAGACAGCUCCGACUAGAAGCAAGACGUUCUAAACAGCUACAGAACCACUUUUAUAACAUGCCAGAUGCCAAAACUUUUCGGUUCACAGAUCCUUACAGCUGA
rnacentral:lncRNA from 1 species